AGUGAACGCUGGCGGUAGGCCUAACACAUGCAAGUCGAACGGCAGCACAGUAAGAGCUUGCUCUUACGGGUGGCGAGUGGCGGACGGGUGAGGAAUACAUCGGAAUCUACUUUUUCGUGGGGGAUAACGUAGGGAAACUUACGCUAAUACCGCAUACGACCUACGGGUGAAAGCAGGGGAUCUUCGGACCUUGCGCGAUUGAAUGAGCCGAUGUCGGAUUAGCUAGUUGGCGGGGUAAAGGCCCACCAAGGCGACGACCCGUAGCUGGUCUGAGAGGAUGAUCGGCCACACUGGAACGGAGACACGGUCCAGACGCCUACGGGAGGCAGCAGUGGGGAAUAUUGGACAAUGGGCGCAAGCCUGAUCCAGCCAGACCGCGUGGGUGAAGAAGGCCUUCGGGUUGUAAAGACCUUUUUUUGGGAAAGAAAAGCAGCAGGUUAAUACCCCGCGGUUCUGACGGUACCCGAAGAAUAAGCACCGGCUAACUUCGUG
rnacentral:rRNA from 1 species